UUAACUGAAACCAAAAAGAGGUAUAUUAUUGUUAAUAAUAAAAUUGAAUGGAUUAUUCCUGUUAAG
rnacentral:tRNA from 1 species